rnacentral:lncRNA from 10 species
UGGUCUCAGCCCAAAAUCUCCUCCAGCUGAUAAACAACUUCAGCAAAGUUUCAGGAUACAAAAUCAAUGUACAAAAAUCUCCAGAUCCUUAACUAAUUGCAUCUGCAAAGACCUUAUUUCCAAAUAUGGUUCCAUUCACAGGUUCUGGAGAACAGGACAUCAACGUAUUUUGGGGGUCGCCAUUCAGUCCAUUACAAUAGUAUUCAGUUCCCUCUGGAGACUCUAGGGGAGGAUACUGCUGCAUUCAGGACCCAUUCUAACCCAAGAUGAUCUCAUCUCAACUAAUUCCAUCAGCUAUGACCCUAUUUCCAAAUAAGGUCUCAUCCUGAGGUUCUGGGUGGAUGUGAAUUUGGGAGAAAUACUCUUCAACCCACUAUACCUUCCAGUGCUGACUAACGUCUGUAUUUAAAUAAACUCUGCAAUUAUCUCAGAAGACUUCCAGAAAGAAACACGUGCCUGUAUACCAGUGCUAUUUAAAGGAAAAGAAUUGCAGUGAAGUAAUAGUUUGACGGCUCCUGAACUGCAGUGUAUACUCCUAGAUGAACCAAAGAUUGAUAAAUUCAAGCAAAGCAUGAGAAUUAUCAGACUAAAAAUAUGAAUGAGUUGAGAUUACAGCAGGAUUCAGAGAUAAGCAGAACUGCCAAAACUAAGCCUGGAAGAUUUAAAUUAUUAAUGAGGUCUUGAUAGAUGUAAUUUACUACAUACUCUCUGGCAUAGCCAAUUCAUGGUGAAUGGAAGACCUGUGUGUCACUUCUGGGCUGCAAUAUUUAAUUACAAGUCUGAACUGUCCAGAACGAUCUUCCUCCUUCCAAAGAGAUCUUGGAAGCACAUGUUGCAAUAGAGCUUGUGAGCUUCUAGUUCACUGAAUGACUCAUUGAAUAGAGUUCUUUCGACAACCAGAAAAUGGGCAUAAGGGAAAAUAAACUUUUUUUUUCUGUUAAACAUAUGAGAUUUGGGAGCUUUUUAUACCACAGCAUUACCUGACCUAUCUAAGUGAUAGAGUGAGAGUCAAUAAGAAUCAAUAUUCAUAAAUCAGACUCGCCUAUAAUUUUCAUUUGUCAAACUAUCCUUUUCUAGUGUCAGAUAACGUUGCACUGUUUUCAUAGAAUAAUAUACAUUUUCAUAUCUUUGGAUGAAUUUUAUGAUCUUGGAAUGAUGUACUCCUUUUACAUCUGCUAAAUCUCAAGUGUAAAUUUUUUUUUUUUUAGUUUGUGGGAAGAUUUUAGCAAAUGUUCAUGUUGAAGGCUUUUUCUAACUUUCCUAAGUUCUUUGAAGAGAUAAUGCUAGUAUUUCAUAUAAAGAAGAUAUGUAGAAAAGCGAUUUGAGAAUGGAGAUAAAAAGAAUCAAAUGUUUACUCAUGCUGAGAAAUGGCAGAUCCUUGGGCUGCAGAAAGAGAGGAUGGGAUUUGUUCGUUGUUCUCUGACCUUACCUUAGGAAAUUUG